rnacentral:rRNA from 1 species
AGAGUUUGAUUCUGGCUCAGGAUGAACGCUAGCUACAGGCUUAACACAUGCAAGUCGAGGGGCAGCAGGACGAUAGCUUGCUAUUGUUGCUGGCGACCGGCGCACGGGUGAGUAACGCGUAUCCAACCUUCCCCUUAGUAGGGCAUAGCCCGGUGAAAAUCGGAUUAAUACCCUAUGUUGUGUCAUGAGGACAUCUGAAUAACACUAAAGAUUUAUCGCUAAGGGAUGGGGAUGCGUCCGAUUAGGUAGUCGGCGGGUAACGGCCCACCGAGCCCUCGAUCGGUAGGGUUCUGAGAGGAAGGUCCCCCACACUGGUACUGAGACACGGACCAGACUCCUACGGGAGGCAGCAGUGAGGAAUAUUGGUCAAUGGGCGAGAGCCUGAACCAGCCAAGUAGCCGUGCAGGAUGACGGCCCUAUGGGUUGUAAACUGCUUUUAUACGGGGAUAAAGUGAGGGACGCGUCCCUUAUUGUAGGUACCGUGUGAAUAAGGACCGGCUAAUUCCGUGCCAGCCGCAGC